CGACGCCGCGUGGGGGAUGGAGCUUCUCGGAGUGUAAACCCCUUUCGACCCGGACGAAACGCCCGUAAGGGCUUGACGGUACGGGUAUAAGAAGCCCCGGCUAACUACGUGC
rnacentral:rRNA from 1 species